rnacentral:rRNA from 1 species
GACGAACGCUGGCGGCGUGCUUAACACAUGCAAGUCGAACGGAGUUUAGGUCAGUAGUUUACUACAGAUUUAAACUUAGUGGCGGACGGGUGAGUAACACGUGGGCAACCUGCCCUAAAGAGGGGGAUAACACCGAGAAAUCGGUGCUAAUACCGCAUGACAUUAGAGCUUCGCAUGGAGCUUUUAAUCAAAAGGGAGCAAAUCCGCUUUAGGAUGGGCCCGCGUCUGAUUAGCUAGUUGGUGAGGUAGAGGCUCACCAAGGCGACGAUCAGUAGCCGAUCUGAGAGGAUGACCGGCCACACUGGAACUGAGACACGGUCCAGACUCCUACGGGAGGCAGCAGUAGGGAAUUUUCCACAAUGGACGAAAGUCUGAUGGAGCAACGCCGCGUGCAGGAUGAAUGCCUUCGGGUUGUAAACUGCUUUUAUCUGUGACGAAUAUGACGGUAGCAGAUGAAUAAGGAUCGGCUAACUCCGUGCCAGCAGCCGAC